UGUUUCUGAGAUAUUUCAGUUUGUUUGGUAUGCAAAUAUCCGGAAUUUACGUCACAAAUGCAUAAUGAUUUAAAGUAAAAGUUUGUAUAUCGUAUUCACUCUCGAGUUGAAUUUUCAUGAUAUUUAACUGUACCUUACAUUCCUUGAUCAGUCAUUAUUCUUAUGUGACGUAAAUUCCGGACAUUUGCAAUCAAUAAAACUGAAAUAACCGCUCAGAGACA